UAAACUCUCCAUUAAAAUAAAACAAUAGAUAUUCGAAAAAAAUAAAAAUAAAAAUAAAACAGUAGAUACGUUAUUUUCUUAUAAAAUUAAACAAUAGGUAAACUAUAUUGUAGUACAUUAUGUUUACAAUAUUAAAAAAGAAAUUGAAAUUCAUAAACAAAAAGUAGUAGAUAUAUUAUUUGCAUGAUUAGACCCAAGUUCUUUGCAUGGUUUUCCACAACACAAAAACGACACGAAUACGAGAAAUAUGAUACGAAUGUCAGGUCUAGUUUAGACCUAAGUUCUUUGCAUGGUUUUCCACAACAUAAAAGCUGAUAAUUCAAUUGUUGAAAGAUGUCAAGAAAGGCAAUGAAAGGAUCAAAUGGAUGGACAGAGAACCUUAUGCAUACUGGAAAGGGAACCCUUUUGUUGCCGAUACGAGGAAAGACUUAGCUCAAAAACACUUGACUGGAAUGCUCGCCUAUUCAUCCAGUACCAUUAAAGAUAAAAACUAAUUUCAUUUAAACAAAUGGCAUAUGUUAUCAACAACAUUAACUUUUGAUUGAAACAGUGCCCGCCGUCCAGCGUCUUCGAAUCUUCGGUCUCUCCGUCUUCCAAGUUCCAAGCCUUUCUCUUCGUCUUCUUAAGUUCUUCGCGACCAGACUACAGGCUAAGGCUGCACCGUCCACCCACACCAGAUCCAACGGUUCACACAGACCUGCCUGCCUCCACCACCACCUGACCACCAUCGCCCAUCGGAUGAUCGCCGAUCUAAUGCCGAUGAUAUUAAAUCCCGACUCCAAAGCCCAACCCAAAUGCGCAGCCGUGGCGAAGCGAGUUUCAAAUGCAUCCGCAUUGACUCACGGUGUCAAGUCGGUCUUUCGGUUCGUUCGAUUCGCCGAGAUCGAAUUCCUCUUUCGUUGUCUUCAUCAUCGCUUUUAUCAUUUUCAAAGAUCUCAUUCUUCAAAUUUGUUGACUCGUGCUGAUUGAGUUGGGCAAAACUUUUCUAGGCAUUUGAUGUGAUGAUAAUUAAAGAACCGACGCUGGCUGAUGAUCAUAUGGAUGCUAUGGAAGAAUAGGAACGACGCUGUCUGGAAUGGGGCUCGGGUGCCGCAGGAGCUGGUGGUCAGAACAGAGGGUUGGUUGCAGGAGUACCAGAAGUGGCAUAAAACUGGAACGGAAAAAUCCAUUAAUCCCCCGCAGAUAUGGCGGAGAGCUGAAGUUGACUGGGUCAAGUGUAGUUUCGACGGAGCGUGGAUCCAGCAGGGUUCGAGGGGAGGCUUUGGUGCUGUUAUGCGAGAUCAUGGGGGAGUUUUCAUUGCUGCAGCUGCGAGUUAGAUUGGUUGGACAUGUUCCGCGUUCCAUGCUGAACUUUUUCCUGCUCGUCAGGCUGUGUUGCUGGCCCAAACGUUUUGCCCUGUUGGUAAAAGGAUGAUUUCUGAAGGUGACUUUAGCCUGGUUUUGGCUGCCAUGAAGGAUCAGGAGGAGGAUUGUUCACUUUUGGGGCCUAUCAUUAAUGAUCCGCGUUUUUUCCUCAGUCGUUGGUGAACUAUGUGCAACGGGGAGGUAACUCGGCUGCGCACAGGUUUGCUCGAGUGUAGGGUGUGAAUAAAACAAUCAUUAGAUUUGUUAGAGCUUCCCUGGCUUGGAACCCGUCGGCCUCUCGCACCUCUGCCUAUGUCCUUCUAUAUUGCUUUGCCAUUUAGCAUAUCUUAUCGCACUUACUUUUGUCCCCUUUUCACUAUAGUUGCUCGUGACAAACUAAUGAAAACAACAAUAAAUCUUCAUGGACAAAUUGUAGAGAAAGACAACGGGCACACAAAAGAAACACAAGAGCAUGAAAUAAAAAUGUUAAUUUGACUUCAA